rnacentral:rRNA from 1 species
AGAGUUUGAUCAUGGCUCAGAUUGAACGCUGGCGGCGUGCUUAACACAUGCAAGUCGUACGCGAAAGGGACUUCGGUCCCGAGUAAAGUGGCGCACGGGUGAGUAACACGUGGAUAAUCUGCCUCUAUGAUAGGGAUAACAGUUGGAAACGACUGCUAAUACCGAAUACGCUCAUGAUGAACUUUAUGAGGAAAGGUGGCCUCUGCUUGCAAGCUAUCGCAUAGAGAUGAGUCCGCGUCCCAUUAGCUAGUUGGUGGGGUAACGGCCUACCAAGGCAACGAUGGGUAGCCGAUCUGAGAGGAUGAUCGGCCACACUGGAACUGAAACACGGUCCAGACUCCUACGGGAGGCA